GAUGAACGCUGGCGGCGUGCCUAAUACAUGCAAGUCGAGCGAACAGAUGAUGAGCUUGCUCCUCUGACGUUAGCGGCGGACGGGUGAGUAACACGUGGAUAACCUACCUAUAAGACUGGGAUAACUUCGGGACACCGGAGCUAAUACCGGAUAAUAUCUUGAACCGCAUGGUUCAAUAGUGAAUGACGGUUUUGCUGUCACUUAUAGAUGGAUACGCGCCGCGUUAGCUAGUUGGUACGGUCCCGGCUUACCAAGGCAACGGUGCGUAUCAGAGCUGAGAGGGUGAGCCGCCACAGGGAAAGUGAGACGCGGCCCAGUAUCGUGCGGGGGGCAGCAGUAGGAAAUCUGCCGAAAGGGGGGAACGCCGGACGGAGAAAGGCCGCGUGAGUGAAGAAGGUCGUGGGAUCGAAAACCUCUUUUAGGAGGGAAAAACAAAUGUGUAAGUAACUAGGCACGUUGACACGGAACCUAAUCAAAAAACCAGGGCUAACCACG
rnacentral:rRNA from 1 species